UGAAACCGUCUAGAGGCAAACGGAGAGGACCGUAUGGUCCGCCCGUCGGAUUCAGUCCGCAGGUGCGGCGUCGGCGACGGUCGCGCAUCCCUCGUGGGAGCGCGCCGGCGUCCGGAACGUCGUGCGGCGGCCGUACUUUCGGCGGGCGGAGCGCCACGACCGGUCUGCGGGCGGCGACAAACUCUCGGGCAAGGUGACCUUCGUUUCGGCGCAGGAGCAUACAGGCACGGUGAGCGCAGGCCCGUCUGCGGACCGAGGAAGACCGUCGCGGUGCGGCGUCGACCGCCUGUCGCGGGCGCGCGUUCGACUCGGGGGGACUGGUUCCAGUGCCCUCGGACCGCGUGCGCUCGGUGGCGGGACGGCCCGGCGUCGUGCCUGGGGUCGGUGGCGAAACGGCCGGCAACCUGUCCGACCCGUCUUGAAACACGGACCAAGGAGUCUAACAUGUGCGCGAGUCGUUGGGCGUUACGAAACCCGAAGGCGCAAUGAAAGUGAAGGCCCGGUCUCCGGCCGGCCUGGGUGGGAUCCGGACGGUCUCGGCCGUCCGGCGCACCACCGGCCCGUCUCGUUCGUUACGUCGAGGAGGCGGAGCAAGAGCGUACACGUUGGGACCC
rnacentral:rRNA from 1 species